rnacentral:rRNA from 1 species
ACAAGCACACACACAACACCGCGGUGGGGGUUGGGUGUUGAUGUUUGUAGUAAAACAAGCGCGUGGUAUAUGGUAUGAACAACUCUCUCUACUAACAGCCUUCUUUUCUUCAUUCUCCUCCCCCCCCCCCCUUCUUUCCUCUUCUCCCCGCGGGGUGUGUGUUUGUCUCACCCCCGCGGGGCGCGGGUUUGUUUCCACUUUAUAAAGAGGGUUGCCCCCCCCCCCCAUUAUAAACGCGGUGGGCGUGGGGUGAAUACUAAAAGGGAGACCCCAUGGGGGGGUGGGGCCCUUCCCGUCUUAAACGGGGAUCUUAAAACCCCCCAAACAUUCCUACCGCGGAACAAGCGAGGCUUGACCGAACCAGGUCCCAUUGCAGGCCACCCUGGAUUCAGGAGGUUCCCCCCGAAAGGCAACCAAAAUCCACAUCUUUCUGGGAAAAAGUUUCUCCUGGCAAAGUGCAAUGGCCCUUGGGUAAGGGUUUUUUCCGAGUUGCUUCGAAUUUAAACCCACAUGCUCCCCCGCUUGUGCGGGUCCCCCCGUCAAAUUCAUUUGAGUUUUAACCCUUGCGGCCGGUACUCCCCAGGCGGUCGACUUUAAUGCUUUAGCUGGGCCACCUAAGAUCUCAAGGAUCCCCAACGGCUAGUCGACAUGGUUUACGGCGUGGACUACCAGGGUAUCUAAUCCUGUUUGCUCCCCACGCUUUCGCACCUCAGUGUCAGUAUUAGCCCAGGUGGUCGCCUUCGCCACUGGUGUUCCUUCCUAUAUCUACGCAUUUCACCGCUACACAGGAAAUUCCACCACCCUCUGCCAUACUCUAGCUCGCCAGUUUUGGAUGCAGUUCCCAGGUUGAGCCCGGGGCUUUCACAUCCAACUUAACGAACCACCUACGCGCGCUUUACGCCCAGUAAUUCCGAUUAACGCUUGCACCCUUCGUAUUACCGCGGCUGCUGGCACGAAGUUAGCCGGUGCUUAUUCUGUUGGUAACGUCAAAACAGCAAGGUAUUAACUUACUGCCCUUCCUCCCAACUUAAAGUGCUUUACAAUCCGAAGACCUUCUUCACACACGCGGCAUGGCUGGAUCAGGCUUUCGCCCAUUGUCCAAUAUUCCCCACUGCUGCCUCCCGUAGGAGUCUGGACCGUGUCUCAGUUCCAGUGUGACUGAUCAUCCUCUCAGACCAGUUACGGAUCGUCGCCUUGGUGAGCCUUUACCUCACCAACUAGCUAAUCCGACCUAGGCUCAUCUGAUAGCGUGAGGUCCGAAGAUCCCCCACUUUCUCCCGUAGGACGUAUGCGGUAUUAGCGUUCCUUUCGAAACGUUGUCCCCCACUACCAGGCAGAUUCCUAGGCAUUACUCACCCGUCCGCCGCUGAAUCAUGGAGCAAGCUCCACUCAUCCGCUCGACAGCAUUUUUGUCUACCCCCCCCCU